rnacentral:rRNA from 1 species
UACGAAGGGAGCUAGCGUUGUUCGGAAUCACUGGGCGUAAAGCGCACGUAGGCGGAUGUGUCAGUCAGGGGUGAAAUCCCGGAGCUCAACUUCGGAACUGCCCUUGAUACAGCACAUCUUGAGUCCGGAAGAGGUGGGUGGAAUUCCUAGUGUAGAGGUGAAAUUCGUAGAUAUUAGGAAGAACACCGGUGGCGAAGGCGGCCUUCUGGACAGUGACUGACGCUGAGACGCGAAAGCGUGGGGAGCAAACAGGG